GCACAAGCAGCGGAGCGUGUGGUUUAAUUCGAUGCUACACGAAGAACCUUACCAGGGUUUGACAUGCAAGUGGUAGGAAUCUGAAAAGGGACCGACCUUCGGGGAGCUUGCACAGGUGCUGCAUGGCUGUCGUCAGCUCGUGUCGUGAGAUGUUCGGUUAAGUCCGCUAACGAGCGCAACCCUCACUGUGUGUUAUAUGUGUCACACGGGACUGCCGGUUUUAAGCCGGAGGAAGGUGGGGAUGACGUCAAGUCAGCAUGGCCUUUAUAUCCUGGGCUACACACACGCUACAAUGGUCGGUACAAUAGGUUGCCAAGCCGCGAGGCGGAGCCAAUCCACAAAGCCGGCCUCAGUUCAGAUUGUAGGCUGCAACUCGCCUGCAUGAAGAUGGAGUUGCUAGUAACCGCAGGUCAGCAAUACUGCGGUGAAUACGUUCCCGGGUCUU
rnacentral:rRNA from 1 species